GCCCGCCGAAGCGCUCUGUGAACCCUGAUGAAGAUGGGCUGUCUGAGUACUAUGAAAAUUGUCAAAACUUUCAACAAUGGAUCUCUUGGUUCCGGCAUCGAUGAAGAACGCAGCGAAAUGCGAUAAGUAAUGUGAAUUGCAGAAUUCCGUGAAUCAUCGAAUCUUUGAACGCACAUUGCGCCCCCUGGCAUUCCGGGGGGCAUGCCUGUCCGAGCGUCAUUUCUGCCCUCAAGCACGGCUUGUGUGUUGGGUGCGGUCCCCCCGGGGACCUGCCCGAAAGGCAGCGGCGACGUCCGUCUGGUCCUCGAGCGUAUGGGGCUUUGUCACUCGCUCGGGAAGGGCUGGCGGGGGUUGGUCACCACCAAAAUUUUACCACGGUUGACCUCGGAUCAGGUAGGAGUUACCCGCUGAACUUAAGCAUAUCAAUAA
rnacentral:rRNA from 1 species